CAUGUAGCUUAUUAAUUUGUGAAGUAUUUUGAACAUUAUCCAUUGAUGCUUGUUUCUUUGAUGUUGCACACAUGUAUAAAGGAUGGGCAGUUUGGUUCACAAGCAGCUUACAUGGAAAUCAUAAAUAAAUUGUCAAUGAGUAGAAAAUAGAGUCUGUAUUAUGCAUUUUAUAAAUAGUAAGUUGGGAGUGAUAUACUAAAAAAUACUUCACAAAUU
rnacentral:misc_RNA from 1 species